GGAUCAUGAAAACAACGCUCCUUUGUUAUUAAAGUUGAUUGAGGACUAUGAUCCUAUAUUUUUCGAAUUGUUCGUCGACCAAAAACAGUUAUGGAUCAUGAAAACAACGCUCCUUCGUUAUUAAUGUUGAUUGGGGACUAUGAUUCUAUAUUUUUGGAAAUACCGUAUGAUUUUGCAACCUUAUUAUGG